GACGAACGCUGGCGGCGUGCUUAACACAUGCAAGUCGAGCGAUGAAGCUCCUUCGGGAGUGGAUUAGCGGCGGACGGGUGAGUAACACGUGGGUAACCUGCCUCAUAGAGGGGAAUAGCCUUCCGAAAGGAAGAUUAAUACCGCAUAAGAUUGUAGUGCCGCAUGGUACAGCAAUUAAAGGAGUAAUCCGCUAUGAGAUGGACCCGCGUCGCAUUAGCUAGUUGGUGAGGUAACGGCUCACCAAGGCGACGAUGCGUAGCCGACCUGAGAGGGUGAUCGGCCACAUUGGGACUGAGACACGGCCCAGACUCCUACGGGAGGCAGCAGUGGGGAAUAUUGCACAAUGGGGGAAACCCUGAUGCAGCAACGCCGCGUGAGUGAUGACGGUCUUCGGAUUGUAAAACUCUGUCUUCAGGGACGAUAAUGACGGUACCUGAGGAGGAAGCCACGGCUAACUACGUGCCAGCCGCCGCAGUAAAAC
rnacentral:rRNA from 1 species